UACGGGGGGGGGCAAGCGUUGUUAGGAAUUACUGGGCGUAAAGGGCUCGUAGGCGGCCAACUAAGUCAGACGUGAAAUCCCUCGGCUUAACCGGGGAACUGCAUCUGAUACUGGAUGGCUUGAGUUCGGGAGAGGGAUGCGGAAUUCCAGGUGUAGCGGUGAAAUGCGUAGAUAUCUGGAGGAACACCGGUGGCGAAGGCGGCAUCCUGGACCGACACUGACGCUGAGGAGCGAAAGCCAGGGGAGCAAACGGG
rnacentral:rRNA from 1 species